GUUGUGAAAUAAUCAAUCGCAGAGCCUUUAAGAAGACUCAAAGUACAAUUUUUGCAAACCCUGGUCUUAUUAGGUUGGGGUA
rfam:Caenorhabditis japonica strain DF5081 Contig665.1, whole genome shotgun sequence.